rnacentral:rRNA from 1 species
UACAGAGGGUGCGAGCGUUGUUCGGAAUUAUUGGGCGUAAAGAGCGUGUAGGCGGCUUGGCAAGUCCGCUGUGAAAACUUGAGGCUUAACCUCGAGACGUCGGUGGAAACUGCCUGGCUAGAGUCCGGAAGAGGAGAGUGGAAUUCCUGGUGUAGCGGUGAAAUGCGCAGAGUAUCAGGAGGAACACCGAUGGCGAAGGCAAUCCCCUGGGUCAAGACUGACGCUCAUGCACGAAAGCGUGGGGAGCAAACAGG